UAGGGAAUCUUCGGCAAUGGGGGGAACCCUGACCGAGCAACGCCGCGUGAGUGAAGAAGGUUUUCGGAUCGUAAAGCUCUGUUGUUAAGGAAGAACGAGUGUGAGAAUGGAAAGUUCAUGCUGUGACGGUACUUAACCAGAAAGGGACGGCUAACUACGUGCCAGCAGCCGCGGUAAUACGUAGGUCCCGAGCGUUGUCCGGAAUCACUGGGCGUAAAGGGUUCGCAGGCGGAAUAACAAGUCAGAUGUGAAAGGCAUGGGCUCAACCCAUGUAAGCAUUUGAAACUGUAAUUCUUGAGAAGUGGAGAGGUAAGUGGAAUUCCUAGUGUAGCGGUGAAAUGCGUAGAUAUUAGGAGGAAUACCUGUGGCGAAGGCGACUUACUGGACACAAAUCUGACGCUGAGGAACGAAAGCGUGGGUAGCAAACAGG
rnacentral:rRNA from 2 species